rnacentral:rRNA from 1 species
UACGUAGGGCGCAAGCGUUGUCCGGAAUUAUUGGGCGUAAAGAGCUCGUAGGCGGUCUGUCACGUCUGCCGUGAAAACCCGAGGCUUAACCUCGUGGCUUGCGGUGGAUACGGGCAGACUUGAGUACUGCAGGGGAGACUGGAAUUCCUGGUGUAGCGGUGAAAUGCGCAGAUAUCAGGAGGAACACCGGUGGCGAAGGCGGGUCUCUGGGCAGUAACUGACGCUGAGGAGCGAAAGCGUGGGUAGCAAACAGG